GAUGAACGCUAGCGGCAGGCUUAACACAUGCAAGUCGAGGGGCAGCAUAAUGGAUAGCCCUAUCUAUGGUGGCGACCGGCGCACGGGUGCGUAACGCGUAUGCAACCUACCUUUAACAGGGGGAUAACACUGAGAAAUUGGUACUAAUACCCCAUAAUAUCAUAGAAGGCAUCUUUUAUGGUUGAAAAUUCCGAUGGUUAGAGAUGGGCAUGCGUGGUAUUAGCUAGUUGGUGGGGUAACGGCUCACCAAGGCGACGAUACAUAGGGGGACUGAGAGGUUACCCCCCCACACUGGUACUGAGACACGGACCAGACUCCUACGGGAGGCAGCAGUGAGGAAUAUUGGUCAAUGGACGCAAGUCUGAACCAGCCAUGCCGCGUGCAGGAUGACGGCUCUAUGAGUUGGAAACUGCUUUUGUACGAGGGUAAACGCAGAUACGUGGAUCUGUCUGAAAGUAUCGUACGAAUAAGGAUCGGCUAACUCCGU
rnacentral:rRNA from 1 species